UGGUGGAGUGAUUUGUCUGGUUAAUUCCGUUAACGAACGAGACUUUGCCCUGCUAACUAGACAUUAUAGCCUCGGCUAUAGCUGGACUUCUUAGAGGGACUUUGCGUGUCUAACGCAAGGAAGUUCAAAGCAAUAACA
rnacentral:rRNA from 1 species